GGAGUGGUGAAAUUGGUUCGAACAAUUUUUAUUCGAAAACUGAACGUUUUAGGGGAGGUCAAAGGAGUUGACUUUUUAUACGUUCAUAAUUGGGGAAAACUUCCUUCAUGAAAGUUGUAGAGCUCGUCGAUACGAUCUCGUGCAUAUGUGGUAUGCAAAAAUCAGAGUUCGUAUGAAUUAGUUAUGAUUUUUUUGAAAAAGUUUCCAGUUUAGUAUAAAGCUGCCAUUUUUGGAAAUUACCAAAAAUAAUUUCAGUUCCAUUUCUGGAAACCGAACUCUCUCUCUCUUGCGCGCGUCCGAGCCCAGAAAAAACAGAGCAAAGCUCUCCGGCCGAGUUCUCCCUCCUCCGGCCACCAAUCGACACCAGACCACCUCCCUUGCCUUCGCCUCGACGCCGCCUACCUGCUAGACGUGAUCACUUCCACCGGAACGGCCUCAAAUCCGGCAGUCGGAGCCGCAAACUUUGAAACAAAAAUCGGUCAACGCCGGUUUUCUCCUAGCUCCGGCCACCAAAACUCACGAUCCUUAGCUCCCUGAACUCGCCUCAACCUUCUGAUCAUCAUUCUAGAAGGAUCGCACCUGGAGUGAUCGGAUUCACGUUCGUCGGAGCUCGCCGGAUUCUGGAAAUUUUCCACCACCACCGAAGCUUUUGAUAGAAGGAAUCGAAGCCUGAAAUUGAAGUUUUGACGUCGAAAUCAAGCCUUGCCGGAUUCUGCAAAAUUCUGGAAUUUUUCCGACCACCGAAGCUUUCGAUCGGUAUAUCUCGAGCUACAGACCAUAUUUUUCUGUGAUUCUUGAACCAGUGAGUUCUUCUUGAGUUUCUUAACAACUCUUCAGAAGGAAUCGAAGCCUUAAAUUGACGUUUUUACGUCGAAUUGGAGCUCGCCGUUUUCUGCAGUUUCUCGCCGGUUUCUGGAAAAUUCCGGCCACCUUCAUACUGUUCAAGGUGAUCGACGGUUUGAUUUGGCGGACGAUUCGUGAAAUUGUAUUUUGAGCUGUUAAGAAGACGCAGCGGGAAUUUAGAGCGGGUAAUCCUACAGGUCAGGAGAACCAGGACGGUGAUCGGGCUGCUUAGAGUAGUGUUAUGUGAAUUACAGCAUUAUAUUGUGAGGUUUGUUAUGCUCAUUUAGAGCUUUACGAUUUUACUUUGUAAGAGUGAAUUGUAAUAAUUAACUCGAGGUUUUCGAGUUUUGUGUUGA